rnacentral:rRNA from 1 species
UACGAAGGGGGCAAGCGUUAUCCGGAAUUAUUGGGCGUAAAGCGUCCGCAGGUGGCACCUCAAGUCUGCUGUCAAAGACCGGGGCUUAACCCCAGAAAGGCAGUGGAAACUGAAGUGCUAGAGUGCAGUAGGGGUAGAGGGAAUUCCCGGUGUAGCGGUGAAAUGCGUAGAGAUCGGGAAGAACAUCGGUGGCGAAAGCGCUCUGCUGGACUGCAACUGACACUCAGGGACGAAAGCUAGGGGAGCGAAUGGG